AGAACGCGAUUGGGGACUACAAGCAAUUGCUUAAAAACCCAAGAAUUUGGCGGUGUCUUAUUCUAUCAGAGGGGCCUGUCCCAUAAUCGAUAACCCACGAAUAAUAUAUCUCUCUAUUGAUACAGCAGCCUGUGUAUUGCCGUCUGAAUAGGCCCUUAAGGUUACCUAUAAAUGAAUAGAUUUUAAUUACACGACAGGUCAAAGUGCAGCUAAUGAGAAGAAGGAGAUGGGCCACAAGCUAUAGCAUAGCUAGAAAUAUAGUAUAGGCCUGUGUCUAAAUAGAAUUUGAUAGUAAUAUGCUCUAUAAGAGCAUAUGAAUAAGAACU
rnacentral:rRNA from 1 species